UCCCUGGUGGCUGAGUGGUUAAGGAUCCAGCAUUGUCACUGCUGUGGUGCAGGUUUGAUCCCUGACCUGGGAA
rnacentral:tRNA from 1 species